UACGGGGGGGGCAAGCGUUGUUCGGAAUUACUGGGCGUAAAGGGCUCGUAGGUGGCCAACUAAGUCAGACGUGAAAUCCCUCGGCUUAACCGGGGAACUGCGUCUGAUACUGGAUGGCUUGAGUUCGGGAGAGGGAUGCGGAAUUCCAGGUGUAGCGGUGAAAUGCGUAGAUAUCUGGAGGAACACCGGUGGCGAAGGCGGCAUCCUGGACCGAUAUUGACGCUGAGGCGCGAAAGCCAGGGGAGCAAACGGG
rnacentral:rRNA from 1 species